rnacentral:rRNA from 1 species
UGGGGAAUUUUGGACAAUGGGCGAAAGCCUGAUCCAGCAAUGCCGCGUGUGUGAAGAAGGCCUUCGGGUUGUAAAGCACUUUUGUCCGGAAAGAAAUCCUUGGCUCUAAUACAGUCGGGGGAUGACGGUACCGGAAGAGUAAGCACCGGCUAACUACGUGCCAGCAGCCGCGGUAAUACGUAGGGUGCAAGCGUUAAUCGGAAUUACUGGGCGUAAAGCGUGCGCAGGCGGUUUGCUAAGACCGAUGUGAAAUCCCCGGGCUCAACCUGGGAACUGCAUUGGUGACUGGCAGGCUAGAGUAUGGCAGAGGGGGGUAGAAUUCCACGUGUAGCAGUGAAAUGCGUAGAGAUGUGGAGGAAUACCGAUGGCGAAGGCAGCCCCCUGGGCCAAUACUGACGCUCAUGCACGAAAGCGUGGGGAGCAAACAGGAUUAGAUACCCUGGUAGUCCACGCCCUAAACGAUGUCAACUAGUUGUUGGGGAUUCAUUUCCUUAGUAACGUAGCUAACGCGUGAAGUUGACCGCCUGGGGAGUACGGUCGCAAGAUUAAAAGCUCAAAAGGAUUUGACGGGGGCUCAUAGCAGUGUUUUU